GGGGAAUAUUGCACAAUGGGGGAAACCCUGAUGCAGCGACGCCGCGUGAGUGAAGAAGUACUUCGGUAUGUAAAGCUCUAUCAGCAGGGAAGAAAAUGACGGUACCUGAGUAAGAAGCCCCGGCUAACUACGUGCCAGCAGCCGCGGUAAUACGUAGGGGGCAAGCGUUAUCCGGAUUUACUGGGUGUAAAGGGAGCGCAGACGGUUGCGCAAGUCUGAAGUGAAAUCCCGAGGCUUAACCACGGGACUGCUUUGGAAACUGUGCGACUUGAGUAUCGGAGGGGCAGGCGGAAUUCCUAGUGUAGCGGUGAAAUGCGUAGAUAUUAGGAAGAACACCGGUGGCGAAGGCGGCCUGCUGGACGAAAACUGGCGUUGAGGCUCGAAGGCGUGGGGAGCAAACAGGAUUAGAUACCCUGGUAGUCCACGCGGUAAACGAUGAAUACUAGGUGUUGGUGCCCCAAGGGCAUCGGUGCCGUCGCAAACGCAAUAAGUAUUCCACCUGGGGAGUACGUUCGCAAGAAUG
rnacentral:rRNA from 1 species